UAGGGAAUCUUCGGCAAUGGGCGGAAGUCUGACCGAGCAACGCCGCGUGAGUGAAGAAGGUUUUCGGAUCGUAAAGCUCUGUUGUAAGAGAAGAACGAGUGUGAGAGUGGAAAGUUCACACUGUGACGGUAUCUUACCAGAAAGGGACGGCUAACUACGUGCCAGCAGCCGCGGUAAUACGUAGGUCCCGAGCGUUGUCCGGAUUUAUUGGGCGUAAAGCGAGCGCAGGCGGUUAGAUAAGUCUGAAGUUAAAGGCUGUGGCUUAACCAUAGUACGCUUUGGAAACUGUUUAACUUGAGUGCAAGAGGGGAGAGUGGAAUUCCAUGUGUAGCGGUGAAAUGCGUAGAUAUAUGGAGGAACACCGGUGGCGAAAGCGGCUCUCUGGCUUGUAACUGACGCUGAGGCUCGAAAGCGUGGGGAGCAAACAGGAUUAGAUACCCUGGUAGUCCACGCCGUAAACGAUGAGUGCUAGGUGUUAGACCCUUUCCGGGGUUUAGUGCCGUAGCUAACGCAUUAAGCACUCCGCCUGGGGAGUACGACCGCAAGGUUG
rnacentral:rRNA from 1 species